GGCCAGACUCCUACGGGAGGCAGCAGUGGGGGAUAUUGCACAAUGGGGGGAACCCUGAUGCAGCGACGCCGCGUGGGUGAAGAAGCGCCUCGGCGCGUAAAGCCCUGUCAGCAGGGAAGAAAAUGACGGUACCUGAAGAAGAAGCCCCGGCUAACUACGUGCCAGCAGCCGCGGUAAUACGUAGGGGGCAAGCGUUGUCCGGAUUUACUGGGUGUAAAGGGCGUGUAGCCGGGCUGACAAGUCAGAUGUGAAAUCCGGGGGCUCAACCCCCGAACUGCAUUUGAAACUGUUGGUCUUGAGUAUCGGAGAGGCAGGCGGAAUUCCUAGUGUAGCGGUGAAAUGCGUAGAUAUUAGGAGGAACACCAGUGGCGAAGGCGGCCUACUGGACGGUGACUGACGCUGAGGCUCGAAAGCGUGGGGAGCAAACAGGAUUAGAUACCCCUGUAGC
rnacentral:rRNA from 1 species